AUCCGUAGGGGGCGAGCGUUGUCCGGAAUGAUUGGGCGUAAAGGGCGCGUAGGCGGCCCGGUAAGUCUGGAGUGAAAGUCCUGUUUUUAAGAUGGGAAUUGCUUUGGAUACUGUCGGGCUUGAGUGCAGGAGAGGUAAGUGGAAUUCCCAGUGUAGCGGUGAAAUGCGUAGAGAUUGGGAGGAACACCAGUGGCGAAGGCGACUUACUGGACUGUAACUGACGCUGAGGCGCGAAAGUGUGGGGAGCAAACAGGAUUAGAUACCCUGGUAGUCCACACUGUAAACGAUGAAUGCUAGGUGUAGGGGGUAUCGACCCCUUCUGUGCCGCAGUCAACACAAUAAGCAUUCCGCCUGGGGAGUACGGCCGCAAGGUUGAAACUCAAAUGAAUUGACGGGG
rnacentral:rRNA from 1 species